GAUGAACGCUGGCGGCGUGCCUAAUACAUGCAAGUCGAGCGAACGGACGAGAAGCUUGCUUCUCUGAUGUUAGCGGCGGACGGGUGAGUAACACGUGGAUAACCUACCUAUAAGACUGGGAUAACUUCGGGAAACCGGAGCUAAUACCGGAUAAUAUUUUGAACCGCAUGGUUCAAAAGUGAAAGACGGUCUUGCUGUCACUUAUAGAUGGAUCCGCGCUGCAUUAGCUAGUUGAUAAGGUAACGGCUUACCAAGGCAACGAUGCAUAGCCGACCUGAGAGGGUGAUCGGCCACACUGGAACUGAGACACGGUCCAGACUCCUACGGGAGGCAGCAGUAGGGAAUCUUCCGUAAUGGGCGAAAGCCUGACGGAGCAACGCCGCGUGAGUGAUGAAGGUCUUCGGAUCGUAAAACUCUGUUAUUAGGGAAGAACAUAUGUGUAAGUAACUGUGCACAUCUUGACGGUACCUAAUCAGAAAGCCACGGCUAACUACGUG
rnacentral:rRNA from 1 species